GCAGUGGUAGCUCAGUUGUAGAAUUAUUGCCUUCCAUGCAGAAGACCCAGGUUCAAUUCCUGGCCGGUGCA
rnacentral:tRNA from 1 species